AUGGAAAAGGUUUUGGUUGCAAAAAAUAACAGAAAUAACAUGGGUACCGCAGGGGCCACGAACGAGGUGGCGACCCUGAGGGAAGCGGUGGCCGUGGCCGAAAACAAAGCGGCUGCGGAGCGCACCGAGCGAGAGAAAGGGGAGGCGCAGCUGGCGGAGGUGCGGCAAGAGCUGCAGAUUCUCGUGAAGAAACACGAGGGUUUGGAGCGUGACUCAAAGACCCAAGAGUCCGAGCUUGCCUCAGCUCUUGAGAGUGCCAAAGCUGCUAAGGCCGAGGCCCAAAAAGCCCUCCAAGAAAUCGAAGCACUAAAGAAGAUAGCGGUGGGUAAGGCAUUCUUUAUGCAAAGCAAGAAUGUAAAAGUCAAUUACCUAUUACUUACCCGGAUUCGGAGCUCUCCAGGAGCAUUCACAGAUUUGCCCCGUAGUGCGUCUGAUGCUGCCGUGUUCUACCACGCCCAGGAGGGGAGCUCCACGGAGAAGGUGUUCUGGUCUUAG
rnacentral:rRNA from 1 species